AGGUAGGAUGGCCGAGAGAAGGCGGUGGGUUGUAGCCCCAAAGACAGAGGUAAUCCUCUUCCUGCCA
rnacentral:tRNA from 1 species